rnacentral:rRNA from 1 species
GAUGAACGCUGGCGGCGUGCUUAACACAUGCAAGUCGAACGGAAAGGCUCCUGCUUGCAGGGGUACUCGAGUGGCGAACGGGUGAGUAACACGUGGGUGAUCUGCCCUGCACUUCGGGAUAAGCCUGGGAAACUGGGUCUAAUACCGGAUAGGACGAUGGUUUGGAUGCCAUUGUGGAAAGUUUUUUCGGUGUGGGAUGAGCUCGCGGCCUAUCAGCUUGUUGGUGGGGUAAUGGCCUACCAAGGCGUCGACGGGUAGCCGGCCUGAGAGGGUGUACGGCCACAUUGGGACUGAGAGACGGCCCAGACUCCUACGGGAGGCAGAAGUGGGGAAUAUUGCACAAUGGGCGCAAGCCUGAUGCAGCGACGCCGCGUGGGGGAUGACGGCCUUCGGGUUGUAAACUGCUUUCGCUAGGGACGAAGCGCAAGUGACGGUACCUGGAGAAGAAGCACCGGCUAACUACGUG